UACGUAGGGCGCAAGCGUUGUCCGGAAUUAUUGGGCGUAAAGAGCUCGUAGGCGGUCUGUCGCGUCGGAUGUGAAAACCCAGGGCUCAACCCUGGGCCUGCAUUCGAUACGGGCAGACUAGAGUUCGGUAGGGGAGACUGGAAUUCCUGGUGUAGCGGUGAAAUGCGUAGAUAUCGAGAGGAACACCUGCGGCGAAGGCGGGUUGCUGGGCCGACACUGACGCUGAUGCGCGAAAGCCAGGGGAGCGAACGGG
rnacentral:rRNA from 1 species